rnacentral:rRNA from 1 species
GAUGAACGCUGGCGGCGUGCCUAAUACAUGCAAGUCGAGCGAACAGAUGAGGAGCUUGCUCCUCUGACGUUAGCGGCGGACGGGUGAGUAACACGUGGAUAACCUACCUAUAAGACUGGGAUAACUUCGGGAAACCGGAGCUAAUACCGGAUAAUAUAUUGAACCGCAUGGUUCAAUAGUUAAAGACGGUUUUGCUGUCACUUAUAGAUGGAUCCGCGCCGCAUUAGCUAGUUGGUAAGGUAACGGCUUACCAAGGCAACGAUGCGUAGCCGACCUGAGAGGGUGAUCGGCAACACUGGAACUGAGACACGGUCCAGACUCCUACGGGAGGCAGCAGUAGGGAAUCUUCCGCAAUGGGCGAAAGCCUGACGGAGCAACGCCGCGUGAGUGAUGAAGGUCUUCGGAUCGUAAAACUCUGUUAUUAGGGAAGAACAAAUGUGUAAGUAACUAUGCACGUCUUGACGGUACCUAAUCAGAAAGCCACGGCUAACUACGUG